AAAUUGAAGAGUUUGAUCAUGGCUCAGAUUGAACGCUGGCGGCAGGCCUAACACAUGCAAGUCGAACGGUAACAGGAAGAAGCUUGCUUCUUUGCUGACGAGUGGCGGACGGGUGAGUAAUGUCUGGGAAACUGCCUGAUGGAGGGGGAUAACUACUGGAAACGGUAGCUAAUACCGCAUAACGUCGCAAGACCAAAGAGGGGGACCUUCGGGCCUCUUGCCAUAGUGUG
rnacentral:rRNA from 1 species